rnacentral:rRNA from 1 species
UACGUAGGGUGCAAGCGUUAAUCGGAAUUACUGGGCGUAAAGAGCUCGUAGGCGGCUUGUCACGUCGAUUGUGAAAGCCCGAGGCUUAACCUCGGGUCUGCAGUCGAUACGGGCUAGCUAGAGUGUGGUAGGGGAGAUCGGAAUUCCUGGUGUAGCGGUGAAAUGCGCAGAUAUCAGGAGGAACACCGGUGGCGAAGGCGGGUCUCUGGGCCGAUACUGACGCUGAGGUGCGAAAGCGUGGGGAGCAAACAGG